GAACUGAAGAAGAUGAAGAAUAAAGAGACCCUUUCUUUUUCUUCUUGGAUCCACGCAUCAGAUCUCUAUGAUAGAGAUCAAGAGAAAAAUCUUUUCUUCUCAAUUUUUUCACACACAAGAGAGAACCUAUCUCUCUUUCUUUCAUGCCUUUAAGAAAUUUUUUUUCUCUAAUUUUUUAUGAUAAAAAUUAAAUCUAAUCUGAUUUUUUAUAUAAAAAAUAAUAUAAAUUUUUAUAUCCUAGAAAAAUAAAAAAAAAGAUCCAAGAGA
rnacentral:lncRNA from 1 species